rnacentral:rRNA from 1 species
GCGUUAUCCGGAUUUAUUGGGUUUAAAGGGUGCGUAGGCGGCCUGUUAAGUCAGUGGUGAAAUUUUUCGGCUCAACCGGAAGCUUGCCUUUGAUACUGAUCGGCUUGAUUACACUAGAGGUAGGCGGAAUGUGACAAGUAGCGGUGAAAUGCAUAGAUAUGUCACUGAACACCAAUUGCGAAGGCAGCUUACUAUGGUGUCAAUGACGCUGAGGCACGAAAGCGUG